GACGAACGCUGGCGGCGUGCCUAAUACAUGCAAGUCGAGCGAUGAAGGAGAUACUUGUAUCUUUUGAAGAGCGGCGAACGGGCGAGUAACGCGUGGGGAAUCUGCCAAUGAGUGGGGGACAACAUUUGGAAACGAAUGCUAAUACCGCAUAAAAUCUGUUGAGACAUCUCAAGAGAUUGAAAGGAACAAUUGUUUCGCUCGUUGAUGAUCCCGCGUUGUAUUAGCUAGUUGGUGAGGUAAGGGCUCACCAAGGCGAUGAUACAUAGCCGACCUGAGAGGGUGAUCGGCCACAUUGGGACUGAGACACGGCCCAAACUCCUACGGGAGGCAGCAGUAGGGAAUCUUCGGCAAUGGACGAAAGUCUGACCGAGCAACGCCGCGUGAGUGAAGAAGGUUUUCGGAUCGUAAAGCUCUGUUGUUGUUAAAGAACGUUGAUGAGAGUGGAAAGUUCAUCAGGUGACGGUAAACAACCAGAAAGGGACGGCUAACUACGUGCCAGCCGCCGCCGUAA
rnacentral:rRNA from 1 species